GAAAAAUUUGGCGGCCAAGCACUUGAUCUAUCAGCAUCAGCAUGGUAAGCAAAUGUCCUGCCCUGCAAUGGGUCAGCUACUAUCAAACACCCUCUACUACAAGCGCUUCUUCCCAUACUAUGCCUUCAAUGUGUUGGGUGGCCUCGACAACGAAGGGAAAGGUUGUGUUUUCACAUAUGAUGCUGUUGGUUCGUACGAAAGGGUUGGGUACAGCGCCCAAGGCACAGGGUCGACGCUUAUCAUGCCUGUCUUGGAUAAUCAGUUGAAAUCUCCUAGUCCUCUGUUAUUGCCUGCAAGGGAUGCUAUCACACCGCUGUCGGAGUCUGAAGCAGUGGAUAUGGUAAAGGAUGUAUUUGCAUCUGCAACUGAAAGGGACAUAUACACUGGGGAUACCCUAGAAAUCAU
rnacentral:misc_RNA from 1 species